AAGACAGAGCUUUAUGCAUUACAGACCCGAGUAGUAAAGAUGAUGAAGCAUCAAAACUGAAACUAGUUUUGAUAUGUCUGGGGAGCUUUUGUUUGAUUAUUGUUGUAUACGCAACAGUAAUAACGAUAUUGUUCAAACGUAGGACGACAAAAAGUGAAAAUGACGAAACUGGUGGGGCUUUUAAUCGACCUUUAAGCAUAUAUGCAUGUACAGAGGAUACCUUUCAAGCAACAAUUGCAGCAACAUCUGCAGCAAAAGGAACUGAUCCAUCUGUAUACAAUAGAGAAUCCAAUCUCUACAAAAAUAUUUUUCCCAAAACAGAAAACGACGAAGAGACAUACGACGCUGUCGAACUAGAAUGAUCAGUUAAUGUUAACCUGUAACAAACUGAAAAUGAAAGUGAUUUGUUAUAGCCACCAUUUAUAGCCAUUAUUGAUUAGACUCUAUACUUACGGCUGACUAACUUUGAAUCUUCAUCUUGAUAACCCCAAAUCCGUAAUGAAAAGUCCGGAACACAGAAGAUGUGCUUUU